CUGUCUCUCCUUGUUAACCGUUCCAUUGAUUAUGUGGAGCACAGGAUGAUAAAUUUAAGAAGGCAAAACAUGAUUAGAGCUUAAACUGGAUUCAGACAGAGAUAAAAAUAGAAAUGAUUCGGGUGAACACACAGCAACAGAAAUUGUAGUAUAUUAGUUGUUGAGGUCUGUGUGCAAAUCUAGGUGAUUGACGUGUAAUAAUAGCUGCAGGACUGUCUAGCCUUUUUGAUUUGAAAGAAAAAUUGCCAGAGAUCUGUAGAAAAGCAAUCAACAUCUAAAAACAGCUGAAUUUGCUGCAUUUACUGUUCCUGGCUUCAGUCAUUAAUUCUUUGCUGCAGUUUUCUAUUCAACAUUGAAUGCCCUUUGGGCACAGUUGUUCUUGCUGCAUCAAUAUGGACACUGUUUAUUUUAGUUGUAAUGUUAUUUUGUAGCCUGAGUUAGGCAGCUGUAUAGUUUAUCAAUAUUUUUCCUCCUGCUUCAGGUUCUUGCUUUCCCCACUUGCUGUACAAACUCAGUUGACAUCAGAAAUUCUUUAAUUAAAGGGUGUGUAGCAAGGAAUUUUGGCUUUAACUACCCAGUGCUGUGCCUGGGUGUUAAUUAAAUAAGCUUGCAGCUGGUUUUAAUAAUGCCAGAGCUGUGAAAUAAGAGCACAAGCUUGAGUAACGUGACAGUGAACGAGCAAGUUGUCAAGAAUGCCUCGGUUGCUACCACCUGGCAAUCUGGAAAGAUCUCACCAUUUGCAAAGGAUUUAAUCACUGGUGUUGGAAUGACCUGGCUCAGAGUGAAAGAUUAAUCAGACACAGCUGAGAAAUUAAAGUGAAUUUAUAUAUUCAACCUUAACAUCGAUCAGUACUCAUCACAAUUUUACCUGUGAUUUUAGGCUAAUUUCUCUAUCUUCCUUUCCUGUUUCUUUUCCCAGUGAUUUCCCCCAUGUCAGGAAAUACCCAUGACUGACAGGGCAUUUGCUCUUAGCUUAUGCUCAUGCCAUUCUUAACUUACUUGAAAUAAGGAGCCAAGUAGAUGGAGGAAGAGUUGAAUAUGUUUCUCAUCAUACUAACAAAGGCUCUGCCAGCAUGUCCACUAUCGUUACUAUGAAAUGGUCAGCUCCCCCAUAACCAGCUCCUUGACCUUGUGAUGAUACUAUGGUCUUAAGAGAGGUCCAUUGGAAUUGUGACCAAUGGAUCCAGCUACAGCAAGGGCCAUCAUUGCUGCAGACACUGUACAAUGAAGAUGCUGAGAAAUGGAGCAGAAAGAAGUAUAUUAGCAAGCCCAGGACUAGCAGCCUCUCCCAGUGGCUACUCAGCAGCCUUCAAAUGAAGAAAUCAUAGGAGAGGAUCCCAUCAGGAUACAGUAGGGCCACAACACACUGCAGUACACCAGAACUGCAAACAGA